ACUGCUGCCUGAUCCUGGGUGAGAGGCAUUUUCUUUGCCAGUUGUCCAAAGAAUGGAAAUUUCCUGCAGUUUCACAGACAUAAUGGAUAUAUGCUGACUUUUUAAAAGCCAUCUGUUACUAGGGGCAAAAAGAAAUAAAAGAGGAAAAUACUUACUUUUAGACUCUCUAAUAUACGUGAAAAAAAAUCUUCCUAAAGAAAUGAGCAAAAAAAAAAAAGAAAGAAAGAAAAGAAAAGAACAACAGUCUUCAUAAAUCUGGAUCCUAGUACUCAUAUUGCAGGUUACCAGGUUCCAAGUGGCAUCUUAAGACCGGGAGGACACAAGGAACAAGGUGCAGCCUAAUCUGAAGAACAAGGGCAGUUCCUACGGAUGUGGACCUUGAGCAUCAGCUGGGCAGAAUGAAGUGAGACAGAAGCUGUCUCCUCGCUGAGUCUGGCAGCCAAAGAGGCUCAGGGGCCCGGACCCAGGAUGAACCUCAUGGGAAACCUCUUGGACCUCACCUUGCAGAUUCUACCAACUUUGCUACUAGGCUGUAACCUUGAUGAAUGGAAAAGAUCUCACCAGAUAAAGGAGGAGACCAAGUCAGACAACAAGGAAAUUAUCCACAUCAAACCCUCUGUUGCGAGUUCAAAAUGGUUGGAUGCAGUGCUUUUCUUAUAGCAGAAGUACUAUGGGGGAGGGGAGUUGCAUGCCUGCAUUGGUGUUUUAUAGCAACUACAUGUGGCCCAGAACUUUGGGAUAUUCCUGUCCUGUCUGCAUUCCAGCCGUGUCAAGAUCUUGCUUCUGUUUUUCAUGAAAAGAGCUCUGUGCUGUUUACAUGAGCUGCAGCUUGACCCGCAGCUGUACAACUUUCUUCUUCUAUUGUCUCAGGUCAAGAUGAAUUACAGACAGAGCCUUGACCAUAAAUAUUUAAUGAUUCUUAUCUUCAAAGCAUUGUGCAAGCACACUUAGUCUUAUUUUGAAGUGCUGAGUAGGCAUCUCCGAUCUUCUUUUAUGACAUAGUUUCUUUUUUAAAUGCUAGUCGCACCCUUUAUUCUGAAUCCUUAAUACAAGGCUGAGUUGUCUUUUUAUAAUAGCUUUAUUAAGAUAUAACUCAUAUAAUCAUAAAAUUUACCCUUUUAAAAUGUAGUGCUCAGUGGUUUUUAGUAUUUUUGGAGUUGUGCAACCAUUGCCACUCUCUGAUCUUAGAAUACUGUCUUCAUCACUCUGAAACGAAAUUGAUUUUCAGUAACUCUCCAUUCUGCCUCCCUCACCCUAUCUGACCUAAAGUACCUGUGGCAGACACUAAUCUAUUUUCUGUCUUUAUACCUAUUCUGAACAGUCUCACAUGUUUCUACUUGCCUUCUUUCUCUGCUACCUGCCUCCAUGAGAAGAGCAUCCCAGGGAUUGUCCACUUAUCCCAGAAGGUGAAUGAAAGACACUUGGAAAUGGAACAGAACUUUUCACCUCAGACAAGAGCAACUGCUUCGCAAAUUACUCAGAGUAGCUUGAACUAAAUAAAUCCUUGCUGUUACAUUCCA